rnacentral:rRNA from 1 species
GAUGAACGCUAGCGGCAGGCUUAAUACAUGCAAGUCGAGGGGUAGCAAGAUUGUAGCAAUACAAUUGUUGACGACCGGCAAACGGGUGCGGAACACGUACACAACCUUCCUACAAGUGGGGAAUAGCCCAGAGAAAUUUGGAUUAAUACCCCGUAACAUAGCGAUGUGGCAUCACAUUGCUAUUAUAGCUUCGGCGCUUGUUGAUGGGUGUGCGGCUGAUUAGAUAGUUGGCGGGGUAACGGCCCACCAAGUCUACGAUCAGUAGCUGAUGUGAGAGCAUGAUCAGCCACACGGGCACUGAGACACGGGCCCGACUCCUACGGGAGGCAGCAGUAAGGAAUAUUGGACAAUGGACGCAAGUCUGAUCCAGCCAUGCCGCGUGAAGGAUUAAGGUCCUCUGGAUUGUAAACUUCUUUAAUAAGGGACGAAAAAAGGUCUUUCUAGAUCGUCUGACGGUACCUUAUGAAUAAGCACCGGCUAACUCCGUGCCAGCCGCCGCCGUAACAC